rnacentral:lncRNA from 1 species
CCAAAUGUAAAUUUACAAAUUAACCAAGAUUUGCCCCAGUGGGCUCUUGAUAGGUCUUCACAGGUUGCCAGUAAGGCUGUUCCCUUCCUGAUAUCCCUAGAAAGGACCUGACCCCAACGUCCAUUAGGACCUACCAUAGGCUGUAUACCAUUCAAGAGCCAUUUUUCCCAUCAUCCUCAGAAAUAAAAGCCAUAGCCUUUGUUUAAAAGUACCAGUUUAUCUGACAUUUAGGAGGCUAGGAGAGUUAAUUUAACAGGUGGGAGUGGUGGAAGAGUUUGAGUGACAGGAAGAAUGUGACUCAGAAGAGAGAUGAAGAAUUACAGGCAAGACCCCCCAGAACUCAGAAGCAGCCAGAGCAAAACAUUCAGGGUGCAGGAAAAGAUAAUGUGAGAUAUAUAUAUAUAUAUAUAUAUAUAUAUAUAUAUAUAUAUAUUUGCACAAACAUAAAACAUAAACCUAGCAGAUGCACGUGAGGUAUCUUGAGCUCUUUGGAGCCUACAAUGUUCCAUCCAUGACCAAGUUGUCCUUUCACAGAAAUCUUUGAAGGAGUGGAAGACCUAGUGGCUUUCAACUAUCCAAUCUGUGCCCACAAGAGUGCGACCAGACAAGACGAGACAAGAUAUAAAAUCUUUCUUACCUCCUGGCUCAGCUUGCCAAGAAAGGGAUUCAAGAUAGAGAAAGGCAAUUUAUUCCCUCUAAUGCUUGUGGCAAGUUAAAGGAGCAAUACAUCCAGUGACUGUAGAUAGUGGAGAGACAAGAGCACCAAGAGCAGAGAUUGCUCCCUCACUUGUGGAAGGAUCAAAAUUGGCAACCAUGGCAAUCACUUUUAAUUGGUCAAUGGGGUCCUGAUACGGUUUUGAGCAGAAAGCCACAAAGUGAAAGAGGGUGCAAAGCUUGAACUUUAUUUGCCUCCUUUUGGAAUCCUUGAUGAACUCCCAGUAUUUCACAUUGUAUAAAGCUCUGCUACAUCCUUACCUCAACUAAUCUUCAAAACAAGUCUGGAAAUAUGAAUUGUUGUUAUCGUCCUUAUUCAGAGGAUAAGAAAACUGUG